rnacentral:lncRNA from 1 species
CAUGGCACGAGUCGGGACGUCACUUGACUUGGCAGGGAGUGGCCAUGGCACGAGUCAGGACGCCGCAGGACGUGUCAGCACAUGGCAGUGGCACGUGUCAUGAUGGGUCAUGACAUGGCAGGGCGUGGCCAUGAUACGUGUUUGGACGGACAUGACCACGGUACGAGUCGGGACGUCGCAGGACAUGCAAGGGAGUGGCCAUUGCACGAGUCAGGACGUCACAGGACGCAUCGGGACAUGGCCAUAGUACGUGUCAGGACGCACCGGGACGCAUCAGGACGUGGUCAUGGCACGAGUUGGGACGUCCAGGACAUGGCAGGGCGUGGCCAUGGCGCGAGUCGGGACGUCGCAGGACAUGGCAGGGCUUGGCCAUGGCACGAGUCAGGACGUCGCAGGACAUGGCAGGGCGUGGCCAUGGCACGAGUCAGGGCGUCGUCCUGACGCGUCAGGACAUGGCCAUGACACGAGUGAGUACGUCAUAGGUUGCGUCAGGACAUGGCCAUAGCACGAGUCAGGACGUUGCAGGACACGUCAGGACAUGGCCAUAGUACGUGUCACGACGCAUCAGGAUAUGGCCAUGGCACGAGUCGGGACGACGCCCUGACUCGUGCCACGUGGCCAUAGCACGAGUCAAGAUGUCGCAGGACAUGGCAGGNNNNNNNNNNNNNNNNNNNNNNNNNNNNNNNNNNNNNNNNNNNNNNNNNNNNNNNNNNNNNNNNNNNNNNNNNNNNNNNNNNNNNNNNNNNNNNNNNNNNNNNNNNNNNNNNNNNNNNNNNNNNNNNNNNNNNNNNNNNNNNNNNNNNNNNNNNNNNNNNNNNNNNNNNNNNNNNNNNNNNAGAGUCGGGACGUCGCAGGACGCGUCAGGACAUGGCCAUGGCACGUGUCAGGGCGCGUCAGGACAUGGCCAUGGUACGUGUCAGGACGCGUUAGGAAAUGGGAGGGCGUGACUAUGGCACGAGUCGGGACGUCACAGGACAUGGCAGGCGUGGCCAUGGCACGAGUCAGGACGUCGCAGGAAGCGUCAUGACAUUGCCAUGGCACGUGUCAGGACGCGUCAGGACAUGGAAGGGCGUGGCCAUGGCACGAGCAGGACAUCGCAGGAUAUGGCAGGAUAUGGCCCUGGUACGUGUCAGGACGUGUCAAUACAUGGCCAUGGCACGACAUCGCACCUAGCCACACCACGUCACUCCAAGCCGCACCACGUCUAUGGCUUACCAAUUCUUUGGAACAUGUCAAGCGCAAUGAUGUUGGUGGUCGUUGGCGGCGGUGGUGGAAAGUCAGGGUGGUUCGAGCAGUAGCGUCCAGCGACGGCCGAUCGACGCUUGGUGGUUGGCUUCGGUUUCUUCAAAUCCUAAUCACUUGUUGUGGUUGGGCAACACGUCAAGCGCAAUGAUGUUGGUUGUCUUUGGUGGCGGUGGUGGAAAGUCACGGCGGUUCGAGCGGUAUCCACCUGCGACGGUUGGUCGAUGCUUUGUUGUUGGGGGCGGAUUUUUCAAAUCGGAAUCACUUAUUUUGGUUGCGACAAUGGAGGUGCCUCGUGCUUAUUGGCGUUUGGUCAUCUAUACGCUUUUAUAAUAAUGUUAUGUAUUUUUCCUAUUUUUUAAUAUAUUUUUUAGGAAUUUUUAUGCAUUUGUAUGCAUUUUUUUGUUACUUUAAAUUAUUUUUGUGUCACUUUUUAAUAAAAAUAUUAACUCUCUUAUAUGUUAUACUAUUCCAAGAUGUAUUGGAAUUUUUCUCCAUCAUUGUUUCUAUUUUUAUAAUAAUUUUCAUAUUUUUUAGUAUUUUAUUAAGUAUUUUUCAUUUUAAAACAAAAAUAGUUACAAAAAAAUUUUCUUAUAAAAAAUAUCAUUUACAAUGUUUAAAAGUCAUUUGUCAAUAUAUUAACCAAGUUGCACUCAAUAUUUCAAAAAAAUAUUAAUUUUAUGUAGAAAAAUACCAUUUACAAUGUUUAGAAGUAAUUUGUUAAUAUCUUAGCCAAGUUGUACUUUGGUUUGUGCUAUUUGGUGUUGUACAUGUCUAUUAUGAUUAUCUGGCCAAAACAUGUCUACUCUGAAACUUGAUUCUUAUUUUAAGUAUAUAUAAGGGGGGUAGAGGAGUUGAGAGACACCUCAGGUGCUUGCUGCCAGGAAGGGGCGGGCAUGCAUGGGGGACGGUGGCAUGGGGCGUGGGCUUUGGGGGCAUUCACAGCUUGUCCGUGCUACGUCCUCGAUGUUCCUAAACCGUGCCGGCAAGUACUCGUGUUGGCUUGUAGUACGCCUGGUGGUGGAACCGCUCGUGAAAAACAUUGGUUUUUGGCAACGAACAGUAGAGUGUCAUGCAAGUAGCGCCGCAAGGUGUCGUGCGCAUGGGGCGAAGCUCAGUACUUGUUGAUCGCCAUUCGAUGUUGCGGGCAAAAUCGGGAGGCGACAUCGCGAGUGGCGGCUGAUGGCUUUUGACAACAGAACGGCAAAGUGUCGUGCAAGUAGCGCCGCAAUGUGCCGUGCGCAUGGGACAAAGCUUAGUAAGUUGUUGUUGAUUGCCAUCGGUUGUUGUGGGUUGUGUCUAGAAUCUCUCGUGGUGGCUGAUAUCUUUCGACAACGAACGGCGGAGCGUCGUGCAGGUAGCGCCGCAAGGUGUCGUACGCAUGGGGCGAAGCUCAGUAGAUGUCGAUUGCCAUCGGUUGUUGCGGGCAACAUCGCUCAUGGCGGUUGAUGGCUUUCAGCAAUGGAACGGCGGAGCGUCGUGCAAGUAGCGCCACAAGGUGCGUGCACAUGGGGCAAAGCUUAGUAAGUUGCCUAUUGCCAUCGAUUGUUGUCGUUUGUGUCUGUAAACCCCCCUCCGUGGUGACUUAUAGCAUUUGACAAUGAACGGUGGAGCAUCGUGCAAGUAGCGCCGCAAGGUGCCGUGCGCACGGGGCGAAGCUCAAUAGAUGUUCAUUGCCAUCGGUUGAUGCGGGAAACAUCGGGAGGCGACAUCGCUCGUGGCAGCUGAAGGCUUUUGGCGUAAAAUGGAAAAGCAUCGUGCAAGUAGCACCGCAAGGUGCCGUGCGCACGGGGUGAAGCUUAGUAAGUUGCUGAUAGCCAUCGGUUGUUGCGGGCAACAUCGGGAGGCAACACCGCUCGUGGCAGCUGAUGGAUUUUGGCAACAAAAUGGAAAAGCAUCAUGCAAGUAGCGCCACAAGGUGUCGUGCGCAUGGGGCGAAGCUUAGUAAGUUGCCAAUUGCAAUCGGUUGUUGCGGGCAACAUCGGGAGGCGAUAUCGCUAGUGGUGGCUGAUGGCUUUUGACAACAAAAUGGCAAAGCAUCGUGCAAGUAGCGCCGCAAGGUGCCGUGCUCACGGGGCGAAGCUUAGUAUGUUGGUGAUUGCCAUCAGUUGUUGCGGGAAACAUCGGAAGGCGACAUUACUCGUGGCGGCUGAUGGCUUUUCGCAAUGGAACGGCAAAGCAUCGUGCAAGUAGCGGCGCAAGGUGCCAUGCGCAUGGGGCGAAGCUUAUUAAAUUUCCUACCGCCAUCGGUUGUUGUGGGUUGUGUCUGGCAUUGUUCAAAACCCCUAUUCGUGCUUUCGGGGCUUGUCUUGGCUUUGCAAUGUUCGCAUCGGCAACAACACAUGGUUGCGCGUCAUGUGUUGGGGAUGGUGUUGGCUUUGUAUCGGCGAGGCAAGUGUACGUGCCACACAUGAGUGGUGUUCGGCUUGUGUGGCUAGGUUGGAUCCCUGCUCGAGCAGCUACAUCCUAGCUUGCAUGCCAUCUCAAUCAUGUCACAAGCGCAAAUUAGGCUUGUUGGACGUCGGUUUUCUCUGUUGCAUACCUAAUUCCAAGGCAUUAUCAAGCAAAAUCGGUCGCCUUUCGACCCUCGCGUUUGACGUGCGGGGUGAACCAAAAGCUGCAGUUGUGUCCCAGGUCGUCCUGGCUUCGCCUUGCGAUGAAUUGGUCCACGACUUAGCAUGUUUGGGCUCUCGGAUUUGGUAAACGCAAUGGGCACGGUAUCACGCUCCGCCCUUUUUCUAAGAGGUUAUGCCACGCGGGCGAUGACUGCGCGAAACGAAGGCGAUGAUUUGGCGCACGCAUGGCACCCUUUUCUAGACAAGUCUAGAUCUUUCCACAAAUGGAAGACUCUAGACCCAUCUUGUAUAUAAGAUGUUUGUAGAGAUUUGUAGAGAUUUGUAGAGUUUUCUAGGAUUUUGAUCUUAGCCAUUAAUUAAAAUAGAUCUUAGCCGUUGGUUAGGGACACUAGCAACUAUAAAUAGGCUAGCAAUUGGCAUUUGCCAUCAUAGAAGAAGAUAGAAGACAUAGAAGAAAACAAUCAAGCAAUCCAACACUCUUGUACAAAGUUCUCUUGUUUAAUACAAUGUUUUCUCACAAGCUUCUCUUCUUAGCUUCUCUUAGCUUUGUUGUGGUGUUAGUUUGGGGAAAGGCUGACUUAGCACAUUGCAGGGGUGAAUUGUGACUAAGGCCGCACGGAAGAUAGCCAGGGAGUUAUCCGGUCCUUGACAGUUGGUAUCAGAGCAACACUACGAAAGGGUUCGUGGCUUACCUUUGGCACAUACAUGACAUGGCUAGCUGUGGUGAGGAGCAAGUUCGCAAGGGUCGCGAGGAGGAGUGCACCAUCCUACCAACACAUAAGGGAGGUAAGUCUCGUGACGUUCUUGCUAGUUUUGAAGCUCGUUUAAUUAAGCUUGAGAUAGCUAUGGCGGACACAAAAGAGAGGUUGGAUCGCAUGGAGCAAACCAUAGAAGAGUACGGCGAGAAGGUUGACACCUCGUUGGAUACUUUCCAAGAGAGGAUUGAUGUUGAUUGGAUGACACGGAGCAAACCUUAGAAGAGUACGGCAAAAAGGUUGACACCUCGUUGAAUACUUUCCAAGAAAGGAUUGAUGCUGCUGGGGCAGAGUUAGCCAACGAGAAUAGCUUGUUUUAAGCCAAAGUGCAUCAAGCCUUGGCAGAUUUGAGGCAGGACAUUGAUGGAGCCAAGUUAAGCUUGGAGGCAUCCAAGGCUGCUGUGGAGGAAACAAAGGCUGACUGGGCUAUGUGCAGAAGUGCUUUCAUGGCAAAAGAGGUUGCCUCGACAUCAACCGUGCAAGCCUGAGACACUGCCCGUGCCUUAGACAUGCCAAAGCCAAAGGAAUACGAUGGAGCUCAGGACGUAUUAGUCAUAGAUAACUACCUUUUGCAUAUGGAGUGCUACUUCGAGGCGCUCAACUUAACAGGAUUAGCCCUGGUACGUACUGCCACCUUACAUUUUACCGACAUGUCUGCACUUUGGUGGCGUAGGAAACGAGCCGACAUUGACAGAGGGCUAGUCGUCAUUGACACUUGGGAAGCCCUAAAGAAAGAGCUCAAGGAGGAGUUCUACCCGGUGCACGUAAGCCGCGAGGGUAGGGCAAAAAUGAGGUACCUCAAGCAGGGCAAUUCUAUCAAGGAGUAUGUUAAGGCAUUCUCCAAUUUAAUGCUGCAAUUGACAACAUGAGCGACGAGGCUAGGGCAAAAUGAGGGACCUCAAGCAGGGCAAUUCUAUCAAGGAGUAUGUCAAGGCAUUCUCCAAUUUAAUGCUGCAAAUCGACAACAUGAGAAAAUGAGGAUCUCUUAUUCAACUUCUUAUCAGGACUUAAACCUUGGGCGGUUCAAGAGUUAAGAUGAUCCAAGGCAGACGACAUUUCGACGGCUCUCAAGUUAGCUGCCACAUUGCAAGACUAUACUAGUGCUGACAAAGGGGUUCAUGUCAAGCACCAAGGUGAUUCAUCCAAGUCCAAGACUCAAAGGACUUGGCCGGUUAAAUGUAGGGGAGCCAAGGACGGAACCCACAAGCCAAAAACCCAUGGAGAUAAGGGGAAACAGGCCAGAGACAACAAGAAAGAGGCCAAACCAAGGGAGGGUUGCUUCCUAUGUCAAGGGCCACACUGGGCUAGGGACUGCCCACAGCGUAAAGCCAUGAGCGCAAUGUUGGAGCAAAAGGAGCAUGGCAAUGAAGCUACAAUGGGGUGUCUUAAGCUGCUUAGCGCAUUGAACGUUAAGACUCAUCACCAGGCGGGCGACAGGAGUCUCAUGUACGUGCAGGGGCACGUCAACAACAAGGUUUCCCACUUAAUGAUUGAUACGGGCGCCACUCACAAUUUCAUGACUCCAACCGAGGCGGAACGGUUGGGACUCAACAACAAGGUUUCCCACUUAAUGAUUGAUACGGGCGCCACUCACAACUUCCUGACUCCAACCGAGGCGGAACGGUUGGGAAUCAAGGUGACAAGCUCCAAGGGUUGGCUCAAGACUGUAAAUGCCGAUGCCAAAUCCGUGGAUGGCGUGGUGAAAGGGACCGAGAUGAAGCUACGCAACUAGUCAGGUAAGGUGGAUUUCUCGGUGGCAACAAUAGACGAUUCUCCAUUGUUCUAGGGAUGGAGUUCCUUUGGCAGUUCAAGGCUGUCCCGUUCCCUAGAUUCAACAUGUUAAUGAUCUUGGAAUGGGAACCAUGCAUGGUCCCUACUGUUGCACCUCCCAAGACAUCCAAAUCUCCUCAACUUAGUGCCAUGCAGCUGCCGAAGGGACUCAAACGUGGGGAGGAGACAUGGUUAGUCGUUCUUCAGCAAGAGGAAGAAGGGGGAGUUUAUGGUGAUAUCCCCGCUUGCAUCAAGAACAUGCUGGAAGAGUUCAAGGACGUGAUGCCACCCGAGUUGCCCCAUAAGCUGCCGCCCAGGCGUGGGGUGGAUCACAAGAUCGAGUUGGAACCAGGGGCUAAGCCACCAGCCAAAGCACCCAACCGGAUGGCGCCACCAGAACUGGAGGAGCUGCGAAAACAGUUGGGGGAAUUGUUGGAGAUGGGCUUCAUCCAACCUUCCAAGGCACCGUAUGGUUCACCGGUGCUAUUCCAACGCAAGGCGGACGGAUCGCAGUGAUUUUGCAUAGACUAUCGGGCUCUCAAUCAUCCAACCUGCCAAAGAACCGUAUGGUUCACCAGUGCUAUUCCAACGCAAGACGGACGGAUCGUAGCGACUUUGCAUAGACUACCGGUCUAAAUAAGGUAACAAUAAAAAAAGUAUCCAAUUCCUCUUAUUUCUGACCUUUUUGAUCAAAUAGGGAAGGCCAAUUAUUACAUAAAGCUUGACCUAAGAUCGGGGUACUAUCAAGUGCGCAUAGCCGAAGGGGACGAGAGCAAGACAACUUGUGUCACUCGAUAUGGGGCAUUUGAAUUCUUGGUGAUGCCCUUUGGCCUGACAAAUGCGCCAGCCACAUUUUGCACUCUCAUGAACGAAAUCCUGCAUCCCUACUUGGACCGGUUUGUGGUGGUCUACUUCGACGACAUAGUCAUAUAUAGCAACACCAUGGAGGAGCAUGUAGAACAUGUACGGACUAUUCUCAAGACCUUGCGGGAUCUCUCAUGAAUGAAAUCCUUCAUCCCUACUUGGACCGGUUCGUGGUGGUCUACUUUGACGAUAUAGUCAUAUAUAGCAACACCUUGGAGGAGCAUGUGUAACAUGUACGGACCGUUCUCAAGACUUUGCGGGACAAUGAGCUUUAUGUAAAGAAGGAGAAGUGCUCAUUUGCCAAGGAAGAAGUGCACUUCCUAGGCCAUGUGAUCAAAGGCGGCAAACUCAUGAUUAGGGGUGUGCAUUCGAUUUAUCGAUUCGAUUUUGACCCUUAUCGAUAAUUACUUAUCGAUUAUCGAUUUGUACAUAUGCCUAUCGUUAUCGUUUAAAGAAGAUCCGGGCGAUCGAGGAAUGGGAGCCACCGACCGAGGUACCAAAGCUUUGAUCUUUCCUUGGUCUUGUGAAUUAUUAUCGGCAUUUCAUUACAGACUAUUCAGCCAAGGCGGCACCACUCAUUGACCUACUCAAGAAGAAGAAGGCUUGGGAAUGGGACGACAAGUGCCAACGUGCCUUUGACAUGCUGAAGAAGGCUGUGACUGAGGAACCGGUACUGGCACUACCUGACGGCGCCAAGGCUUAUGAGGUGCACACAGAUGCGUCUGACUUUUCCAUAGGGGGUGUGCUUAUGCAAGAGGGGCAUCCGAUUUCUUAUGAAAGUCGCAAGUUCAACAACAGCGAGAGGCGCAAUACAGUACAGGAGAAGGAGAUGACUGCAGUGGUGCAUUGCUUGCGAGUUUGGCGACACUACUUGCUCGGGGCAAAGUUCGUGGUGCGCACGGACAAUGUGGCGACAAGUUACUUCCAAACACAGAAGAAACUCAGCCCUAAGUAAGCAAGAUGGCAAGACUUCCUGGCCGAGUUCGACUAUAUGAUGGAGCACAGACCGGGCAAGGCCAACUUUGUGGCGGAUGCACUAAGCCGCAGGGAACAAUGCAGCGACAAGCUACUUCCAAACACGGAAGAAACUCAGCCCUAAGCAAGCAAGAUGGCAAGACUUUUUGGCCGAGUUCGACUAUGUGAUGGAGCACAAACCGGGCAAGGCAAACUUUGUGGCGGAUCCGCUAAGCUGAAAGGCAAAAUUGUCGGCAAGGUCAAGAGUUCAGGUGGAGCUCUUGGAUUUUAUCAAGGCAGGCUUGCCGCAUGAUCCUUUAGCCAAGCAACUUGUGCAGAUGGCUAAAGAUGGGAAAACCAAACAAUUUUGGGUAGAAAGCGACUUGUUGGGCACCAAGGGGCAACGGAUAUAUGUACCCAAAUAAGAGAGGUUGCGCAAAAGUAUCAUUAAAUAGUGCCAUGAUACCGGAUGGGCGGGUCAUCCAGGACAAAAGCGCACUCAGGCAUUGGUAGAGGCUAAAAACUAUUGGCCUUGCAUGCGGGACGACAUCGAGUUAUACGUCAAGACUUGUCUUGUGUGCCAACAGGACAAGGCUUGCAACUGGACAGCAACCCUUGACACCGCAUGGACUUGUCAACAAGUAUACUGGGAAGUGUCCAGCGGCGUUCAAGGCAGCAAAAACUUGGCACGAGCAAACGGACUUAGCUCGGGCAUAUCUUGACAAGGCCUCCAAGAAAAUGAAGAAGUGGGCUGCCAAGAAGAGGAGGCACUUGGAAUUCAACGUGGGAGACUUGGUCAUGCUUAAACUCAACGCCGAGCAACAAAAGAGGCUAUGCAGGUUGUACAAGGGACUAGUUCGGCGCUACAACGUGGGAGAUUUAAUCAUGCUUAAACUCAACGCCGAGCAACAAAAGAGGCCACGUAGGUUGCACAAGGGGCUAAUUCGGCGCUAUGAGGGACCACUCCCCAUCCUUGCCAAGGUGGGAAAGGCUUCUUAUCGGGUGAAGCUGCCACUAAACUCAAGUUACAUCCUGUCUUCCAUGUGAGUUGUCUUAAGCCAUACCACGCAGACAUGGAAGACCCAUCAUGGAAUGAGUCACAUCGGGCACCACCAGCCAUUACCACAUCGUUUCACAAGGAAGUUGAAAGCAUCAUGGCUGACCAGGUGAUUCGGUGACGGUUCAGGAACAUUUGCAUGAGUACCUUAUUAAGUUGAAGGGGCUACCGGAAAGCGAGGCAAGUAUGGAGCCAAAGAAAGCUCUUUGGUAGUUUGAAAAUCAAAUACGGGCAUUCCACGAAGAGUCGAUGAGGGCGUCGACGCAAUAGGUGGGGCAUGUUGUCACGCUCCAUCCUUUUUCUAAGAGGUUAUGCCACGCGGGUGAUGACUAGACGACACGAAGGCGAUGAUUGGCACACGCAUGGCACCCUUUUCUAGACAAGUCUAGAUAUUUCAACAAAUGGAAGACUCUAGACCCAUCUUGUAUAUAAGAUGUUUUUAGAGAUUUGUAAAGUUUUCUAGGCUUUUGAUCUUAGCCAUUGAUUCAAAUAGAUAUUAGCCAUUGGUUAGGGACUCUAGCAACUAUAAAAAGGCUAGCAUUUGGCAUUUUCCAUCAUAGAAGAAGAUAGAAGACAUAGAAGAAAACAAUCAAGCAAUCCAACACUCUUGUACAAAGUUCUCUUGUUUAAUACAAAGUUUUCUCACAAGCUUCUCUUCUUAGCUUCUCUUAGCUUUGUUGUGGUAUUAAUUCGGGGAAAGGCUGACUUAGCACAUCGCAGGGGAGAAUUGUGACAAAGGCCGCACGGAAGACAGCUAGGGAGUUAUCAGGUCUGUGACAACGGGGCCUUUAUUGGCUCCUAUCUAUCCAAAGAAUGCUCCUUACGAAUGACGGUCUUGCUCGCCUUGGACUUGGCCGUGCCCUUUUGGGUCGGCCACGCUCAUGCGACGCCGGCGUCAAUGGGGAAUGCUACCUGGUUGAUCCUGCCAGUAGUCAUAUGCUUGUCUCAAAGAUUAAGCCAUGCAUGUGUAAGUAUGAACAAAUUCAGACUGGGGAAUGCUACCUGGUUGAUCCUGCAAGUAGUCAUAUGCUUGUCUCAAAGAUUAAGCCAUACAUGUGUAAGUAUUAACAAAUUAAGACUGUGAAACUGCGAAUGGCUCAUUAAAUCAGUUAUAGUCUGUUUGAUGGUAUCUACUACCCGGAUAACCGUAGUAAAUAUACAGCUAAUACGUACAACAAACCCCAGCUUCUGGAAGGGAUGCAUCUAUUAGAUAAAAGGUCAACACGGGCUCUGCCCGUUUCUGCGAUGAUUCAUGAUAACUCGACGGAUCGCACGGCCAUCAUACCAGCGACGCAUCAAUCAAAUUUCUACCCUAUAAACUUGGGCGUGAUGGCCUUGUCAUUAGCCUAUGUGCGAGCAAAACGAUCAUGCGGGUCGACAAGCUGUGGUGGAAAAUUGUUGGCCAAGGCCUUGGCAUGGUCAAGGUGCGCUUGGAAAAGGCUUGAAGAGGCAGCAUCAGCAAUGGUUGGGCGGCAUAGCACGGCAUGCGCGCCAAACUCAAUGGCAUGACACUCUUGGGUUGUGGCAGCUAUGUGCGGGCUAAGCUAAGGCGAUGCGAAAAUGCGGGUUGACGGCAAAGGCUUUCAAUAGCUAAGACUAGGCUAUGGGAAAAAGAAUACAAGCAAUGGCAUGAGGGAAAUUAGGUUGGCACGGACAAGGCAAAAAACUAGGCCAAGGCAGUGUGCGGGUGUAUGGGCGCCGGGCGUGUGCGGAAACAUCAUGGCAGCGGAUUGCCGGCAAGACAUUGGCAUGGGCAAUGUCUAAUUAAUCCAAGGAAUGGCACGGGCAGCCUUGGGGGCGAAAUUAAGCUGGCCUAGGAAAUGGCACAUGCAAAGCACAUGGAAAGCGGUUGGCAGCGGUUACCUUGUUUGUAGGCCAUGAUCUCCCAUGAUCUCCCAUUAUCCCAUGAACUGAUUAUUGUUUGUACUGUGGCCCCAUUUCGUGCAUAAUGAUCCUAAGUAGUUUGGGAUGUCAACUACAAGUUAGGAGCAUGAUGUAAAGAUGUUAGACAACAAGUGUCAUGAGCGGUUAAUUUUAAAGGCCUAUAAAUAGGACCUUUAACUUAGGCAGAAAUACGUAUAAUGAUCCUAAGUAGUUGGGGAUGCCAACUACAAGUUAGGAGCAUGAUUUAAGCUUAGUCCGACAAGUGGCAAAAGCUGUUUGACAAUAAGUGUCAUGGGCGGUUAAGUUUAAGGGCCUAUAAAUAGGACCCCUAACUUAAGCAAAACAACGAAGUAAGUUCAAGGGAAUUACUUGUGGGAAAAUAGAGUAAGUUCAAGGGAAUUACUUCGUGGGAAACAAUAGAGAAACGUGAGGUUUUUCUAGUGUUUCCAAAAGGGGGCUAAGGUUGUGCAUGGGCAGAUCUUAGUGUUUGCCAAGAACGACCAGGUGUUCUUCGUCAAAAGUGGGCUGUGAGCGGACGGAUAGUUCAUAGCAAUUGAGGGUCCUUCGUAUAUUUUCUAUAUUAAUGCAAAGGUUGAGAAUUUGUCAUGUAUAUGUUUUUGUUCCUUUAAAAUUCUAAUUUGUUGCCUAAAUUUCGUCUAAGGUCAAACUUGCUUAAAAUUGCAAGUGUUUCGGAAGGCUGAGUCAAGCACGGGACUUGACUGCCGCACGUGUGUGGUUUUGGACUAGGUCAAAAACGCCCCCGUGACACCUACCAUGGUGGUGACGGGUGACGGAGAAUUAGGGUUCGAUUCCGGAGAUGGAGCCUCAGAAAUGGCUACCAGCUCCAAGGAACGCAGCAGGCAUGCAAAUUACCCAAUCCUGACAUGGGGAGGUAGUGACAAUAAAUAACAAUACCGGGCUUUAUGAGUCUGGUAAUUGGAAUGAGUACAAUCUAAAUCCCUUAACGAGGACCCAAUCCUGACAUGGGGAGGUAGUGACAAUAAAUAACAAUACCGGGCUUUAUGAGUCUAGUAAUUAGAAUGAGUACAAUCUAAAUCCCUUAAUGAGGAUCGAUCAGAGAGCAAGUCUGGUGCCAGAAGCCGCGGUAAUUCCAGCUCCAAUAGGGUAUAUUUAAGUUGUUGCAGUUAAAAAGCUCGUUAUUGGACUUUAGGAUGGGCCGGCCGUCCGCCUUAGGUGUGCACCGGUCGUCUCGUCCCUUUUGCCGGUGAUGCCCUCUUGGCCUUAAUUGGCCGGGUCGUGCCACCGGCGCUGUUACUUUGAAGAAAUUAGAGUGCUCAAAGCAAGCCUACGCUCUGUAUACAUUAGCAUGGGAUAACAUUAUAGGAUUUCGGUCCUAUUACGUGGUCGUGCCACCGGCGCUGUUACUUUGAAGAAAUUAGAGUGCUCAAAGCAAGCCUACGCUCUGCAUACAUUAGCAUGGGAUAACAUUAUAGGAUUACGGUCCUAUU